GACAGAGGGUGCAAGCGUUGUUCGGAAUCAUUGGGCGUAAAGGGCGCGUAGGCGGUUUGGUAAGUCGAAUGUGAAAUCCCAGGGCUCAACCUUGGAAGUGCAUCCGAAACUACCAAACUAGAGUCUCGGAGAGGGUGGUGGAAUUCCCAGUGUAGAGGUGAAAUUCGUAGAUAUUCGCAAGAACACCAGUGGCGAAGGCGGCUCACUGGCCCGAUACUGACGCUGAGGCACGAAAGCGUGGGGAGCAAACAGG
rnacentral:rRNA from 1 species